rnacentral:rRNA from 1 species
GUUAUAAUUCUAGCCACCAAUAUAAACCAACAACCCUAACAAAUACCAAAAUAAAUCAUUUUUUAAUGGGAGUAUAGGCGAAAGAAACCAUCACUUGAGCAAUAGAGAGAGUACUGCAAAGGAA